ensembl:lncRNA
CUGGGCAGUUCCUCUGACACUGGAAAGAAUGAAGAAUCACGUUCAUUAUUAUUUAUACUACCACACCAGAAUUUCAUUCCUGUGGAUAUAUGUAUAUACAUAAUAACGUGAACCAGCUUCUAUAAACUUUUAUUGAAAAUGCCUCUGAAAUAUUCUGAUUUAAAUCACGUGGUAAAAUAAAAUUUUGCCAGCAAGCCUGCUUUCUCCCUUUCUCACACAGAAACACACCCCAAAGACACCAACACAGCAAGAGGAGUGACUGUAACCUCAAUAGCAUGCUGUGUUGGAGUGGAAAAAAGGGCGAGACUGUACGAGCGAAGUUCUGCACUGUAUCAAAAGCACCAACUGAAACAGAAAGCAGCAUAGUGAAAGGUAGACUAUUCCUGUUCUUAGAAUGUCUGGGAUCACUUAAAAGAAUUAUUAAUUCUUCUCAUCCAUUUACUCAAUCAUACUUGAAUGUUAGCUAUGCCAAUUUGAAAGCAUAUGUUACAGUAUCACAAUUCACCAAUAGAGAAAAAAAAAAAGGGGGAAAUUUAUCCAGCUGUUUAUUCAUAACUGCUCCCUGACUGACAGCUCCUGCACAGGAGUUGGCAAAGCCUCCUGGAGGCAUGCCUGCAGCCCAGCGUGCUCCAGCUCUGCUCUGCUAGGAGAGGCCACUUGUGCAACUCCAGUAAUGCGAGUUACCAGAAUUCAGCCCUGUAACAGACAGCACUGAAAAUUAUGCUGGUCAAUUUAUUUUUCCAUUCUUAUCCAAAUAAAUGCAUUUUUAUUUUAAUCAGCAUUUACUUAUGUUGUGUGUCAAAUAUCUGAUCUCAGCCCUUCCAGUGUUAGGCAUUACUUAGUGCAUCUUUGAAGGCAAAUUGCUCUGACAGAUCAGAACACAUGUUUCAGUCACUAAAUACUUUUGUUUGCUCUGAUUUUUAAAUUUUAUUUUACCUUUUUUCUUCUCAACCUCUUUUCUGUUUGCAUUACUUCGCAUGUGAAACCUGGCAAGACAUACAAGAUGAGCUGCACACACACAGGUUUACUCAAGAGCCGCCACAAGGUUAAUCCCCAAGCGCACAGCAGCCCAAAUCCUACCACAUGCACUUCCAGAAGGAAGAAUCAGUGACAUUCCCAAUAAGGCCUCUCUGCAAGGACCCCAACAGGAAAAAGUGCCAAUUAACACCAAAAAAAAUCAAGCUGAAGAGAACUUGGCUCCAAACAAAAGCAUGCGCAGUACAUUUCUGCACACUUUUCCAAAGCAUUUCCAAUAACCAAAGCAUCAAAAAUCUCAUUAAUUCUGUUACUUUCAUACUCUUUCCUCAGAAAGUACAGCAUGUGAAUCAAAACCCCUCAACUCUGCCUGCUGUCUGGGGGGAAUAAGUACUGAACUUUUCCUUCUGACAUAGGCCUUACUGAAGUUUCUUCAAAAUACAGAAAGCCUCCAAUUUCCUUUUUGCUUUACCAGGAACUCUGCAAGAACAUACAACAGAAUAUACACCAGGGCUAAAUAACAAAACAUACAUACUUACUUUUUGAAAAGUACGUAGUUCGAAACCUGCAACACUGUCCUCAAAGAAAAAAGAAGAAAGUUUUAAACCAAGUGCACAUUAGGGAAACUCUGAGAAGCCAGGACUCUUCCUCUCUGAUGCGUAUUCUUAUUUUUAUUCUGUUGUUUUUUUUUUUGUUUUUUUUUUUUCUCCUCAGAAGAAACAAAUACUAUCACCACAUCCCUUUUUUCCGGCUUAUUGAUGCAUGCCCUUGACCACGGUACAAAAGCAGCAUUUACCAGCACUCUGCAGGUGAAAGAUGAUUAGUCUGUAUAAAUUAUACAUCUUAGGAGCUCAGCAUUUCUUUUCCACUGAAAACCUAUUCAAGUGUUCCCACAUCUGUAUGCUAAGUGGUUUGCUCCAGCCAGGGGGGGGGCAAAAAAAUUGCUGAUAUUUCAAGAAAUCUUAUCUUUUAAUGAUUGGGAUCAGAGGAAGGGCAUGGACAUGAGACAGCUUGAAGCAGACCUAAUCUCUAGCAUGACUGAACCUACAGAGCUGCAGCACUGCCACCAACAUCACUUCCCCCAGCUGCAAUCUGCUCUCCAAUGGUGAUCAGCAGGGAAAUUGAAUUGAGUGAGGAAGUGUAUAACAGUGAUGCUUCUGUCCUGGGCAGUCUCUCUCCCCAUACAGCACCAUGGCUAAUGCCAGUGGAGCAAAGUAGGCAUAACCUCCAUCAGACAACAGCAGUGCAAACCUGCCAACAAGAUCAUAUUCCUGGUCUAUCCCACUUCCACUGUGGCAAAAUUCCCACUGCUGGGUUUCCAGAAUGCUGGUUUCUGGUUUUCAGAGGUCUGCCAUUUCACCAGUUUAUCUCUACCUGAAGACAUCCCAGUGUGGAGCACUGCUCUGUCCUCCUCAACUGAUGGCCACAGCCAGGUCAUCGCCUUUUAAUAGAGAUGCUGAACAUUUUUCAGUUCACUAUUCAUAUUGACUACUGCUGCAUGCGGUUUUGGGCACCACAUUAUAAGAAAGACUUAAAACAAUUAGAGUGUGCAAAGGAGGGCUCCAAAGAUGGUUAAAAGUCUAGAGGGCAAGACACAUGAGGAGUGGCCAAGGUUCCUCUUCUUGUUCAGUCCAGAGAAGAGGGGAGUGAGGAAAGCCCUCACAACAGCCUACAGUUUUCUAAGGAAGGAUGUGGAAGGUCAGGCACUGAUCUCUCUGGUGAUAGUGACAGGACACACAGAACUGCAUCAGGUUUGGAUCAGGCUGGAUUUUAAAGACAGGUUCUUGAUCAGAGAAUGGUCAGGCUCUGGACCAGGCUCAUCAGGGCAGUGGUCAUGGCCUCAAGCUGCCAGAGUCCCAGAAGCAUUUGAAUAACGCUCUCAGACAUAGGGUUUGAAUUUUGGGCGGUCCUGUGUAGAGCCAGGAGAUGGACUCUGUGAUCCCUAUGGGUCAUUUCCUACUCACGAUAUUCUGAUUCUACACCAACUAAAUACAACAUAUAUCAGCACCAGGGUACAUCUCAGAGGCUCAGCUCUCCCCAUCAAAUUAUUCAGGGCAGCAAUACACAGGGGUGCAUUCCCUCAGGCAACCUUCAGCUUC